rnacentral:rRNA from 1 species
GUGCCAGCCGCCGCGGUAAUACGGAGGGUGCGAGCGUUACUCGGAAUUACUGGGCGUAAAGGGUGUUUAGGCGGGGCUGUAAGUCAGAGGUGAAAUCCCACGGCUCAACCGUGGAACUGCCUUUGAUACUGCAGCUCUUGAGUCCCGGAGAGGUGGCUGGAAUUCGUGGUGUAGCGGUGAAAUGCGUAGAUAUCACGAGGAACACCAGAGGUGUAGACGGGUCACUGGACGGGUACUGACGCUGAGGCACGAAAGCGGGGGGAGCAAACAGGAUUAGAUACCCUGGUAGUCCACGCCGUAAACGAUGGAUGCUCGGUGUUGCCCCGCCUUUAGGGGCAGUGCCUAAGCUAACGCGUUAAGCAUCCCACCUGGGGAGUACGCUCGCAAGAGUGAGACUCAAAUGAAUUGACGGGG